GCCUUUUUUCAGACGUCCACUCGCAUGAGAGAGAGUUGUAGAGAGAGAAGCAUAGAGAGUGGGAGGAGAUCAGAGAUGAGAUAGUAAAGGACUAGAGGAGGCCGACCACCCUGUUUUGCUAACCAAACACGGCGCCACGGCCUUGCUACGGCGGAGCCGGCCGUACUUUGGCGCGUGUACCAUCACAAACCGAUGACCGAAGGGUGAGAAGUCUUCAAACUCCAGGUUUAUUCACUCAUGGUGUGUAUAGGUGGUGAGGGUGAUGUCGACUAGAAUUUCCAGCGGUGUACCGCCGGCGCCAUUACAAAAGAGUUGAGCCAUGGUGGCGCAUUUACCGCUGCUGGAGUCGAAUGAGCAACCAACGGUCCAACACGGCCCAGAGAUCAGGCGGUGGGAGGGCGAGAACCGGCCGACUGAUACAAGGUUGGAUUACCGGACGGGCUAGAUGGGUGCAUUUGUUAUCCAUCAUGAUUGUUGUGGUGGAGACCACCAUGAAAGGAAAGUACGGGAAAAAAGAAGACAGAGAGAAAUGGUUGAGCUGGAGCUGCAUUGUUCCAUGGAUAAAUAGAAUGCAAUGUUUGUGAAAGUGAGAGAAGGAAGCUAAUUGAAACAACACUCCACACUCCUACACUACAUUACGUUGGGUUUACUUAUAUGUGUUAAAAGGUAUUAGAGAUAAAAGGAAACAGUUUCUAUGGAUUAUAAAUUGGGCAAACUUAGCUACAUUUGAUUGGUCAUUGUGGUGUGAUUUUAGUUAAAUUAAUUUUUCAGUAUCGUGAUA